GUCCUCGAUGGCUCAAUUGGAUAGAGCGUCUGCCACGUAAGUAGGAGAUCCUGGGUUCGAGUCCCUGUCGGGACA